AAUGAACGUUGGCGGCGUGGAUUAGGCAUGCGAGUCGUACGAGAACCCGCAAGGGGGAAGUGGCGAACGGGGUAGUAAUGCGUAGGUGACGUGCCCCUGCGGUCGGGGAUAGCUUAGGGAAACUUAAGGUAAUACCCGAUAAUCCCAUGAGGUUUGAAUACCAUAUGGGCAAAGGUGUGAUUCCACCACAGGAGCGGCUUGCGUGGUAUUAGCUAGUUGGUGAGGUAACGGCUCACCAAGGCUUCGAUGCCUAGGGGAUGUUAGCGCAUGAUCCCCACCACUGGGACUGAGAUACUGCCCAGACACCUACGGGUGGCUGCAGUCGAGAAUCUUCGGCAAUGGGGGAAACCCUGACCGAGCGACGCCGCGUGUGGGAUGAAGGCCCUUGGGUUGUAAACCACUGUCAGAGGGGAUGAAAUGCCAGAGAGCUAUCUCUCUGGUUUGACAUAGCCUCAGAGGAAGCACGGGCUAAGUUCGUGCCAGCAGCCGCGGUAAAGUCUGU
rnacentral:rRNA from 1 species